rnacentral:rRNA from 1 species
AACGAACGCUGGCGGCAUGCCUAACACAUGCAAGUCGAACGAGACCUUCGGGUCUAGUGGCGCACGGGUGCGUAACGCGUGGGAACCUGCCCUUAGGUUCGGAAUAACUCCCCGAAAGGGGUGCUAAUACCGGAUAAUGUCUUCGGACCAAAGAUUUAUCGCCUUUGGAUGGGCCCGCGUUGGAUUAGCUAGUUGGUAGGGUAAAAGCCUACCAAGGCGACGAUCCAUAGCUGGUCUGAGAGGAUGAUCAGCCACACUGGGACUGAGACACGGCCCAGACUAGUGCGGGAGGGAGGAGUGGGAAAGGGUGUAGAAGGGGCUCAGCCGUGAUCAGGGACGGCCGGGCGGGGGAUGGGGGCCUUAGGGUUGAAAAGUUUUUGUACCGGGUAUGAUGAUAACAGGGGAGGGGAAAGAAGCCCCGGCUAACGCAGUGCAUGCCGCGGCGGUAUAAAACGGCCGAGCCCAAGUCCAAU